GAUGAAGAACGCAGCGAAAUGCGAUAAGUAAUGUGAAUUGCAGAAUUCAGUGAAUCAUCGAAUCUUUGAACGCACAUUGCGCCCCUUGGUAUUCCGAGGGGCAUGCCUGCUCGAGCGUCAUUAUUACCCCUCAAGCUCAGCUUGGUGUUGGGGCCUGCUGCACUGGCAGCCCUUAAAAUCAGUGGCGGCGCCAUCUGGCUCUAAGCGUAGUAAUUCUUCUCGCUAUGGAGUCCUGGUGGAUGCUUGCCAUCAACCCCCAAUUUUUCUAUGGUUGACCUCGGAUCAGGUAGGGAUACCCGCUGAACUUAAGCAUAUCAAUAAGCGGAGGA
rnacentral:misc_RNA from 1 species